rnacentral:rRNA from 1 species
UACAUGGGGUGCAAACGUUGCUCGGAAUUAUUGGGCGUAAAGCGCGCGUAGGCGGUUACUUAAGUCGGAUGUGAAAGCCCUCGGCUUAACUGAGGAAGUGCACCCGAAACUGAGUAGCUGGAGUACGAAAGAGGGUCGCGGAAUUCCAGGUGUAGCGGUGAAAUGCGUAGAUAUCAGGAGGAACACCAACGGCGAAGGCAGCACUCUGGGCCGGUACUGACGCUGAGGAGCGAAAGCUAGGGGAGCGAACGGG